rnacentral:rRNA from 1 species
GUCCAUGCCGUAAACGUUGGGAACUAGAUGUGGGGACCAUUCCACGGUCUCCGUGUCGCAGCUAACGCAUUAAGUUCCCCGCCUGGGGAGUACGGCCGCAAGGCUAAAACUCAAAGGAAUUGACGGGGCCCGCACAAGCGGCGGAGCAUGCGGAUUAAUUCGAUGCAACGCGAAGAACCUUACCAAGGCUUGACAUAUACCGGAAACGUCUGGAAACAGUCGCCCCGCAAGGUCGGUAUACAGGUGGUGCAUGGUUGUCGU